GAUUCAUAACGGGUAAUAUAUAGGUCUGAUACAAAUAACUGAUAUUUGUAACGGGCGAAAAUUUGACGGUAACAAAUAAACAAUAUUCGUAACUUAUUUAGAUCUGAAUUGUGAAUUUCUGUCAACUUAUUUGGACCAAUUAUUUAAAGAUCGACGUUUCGAGUAUGAUUUUUUUGGUAUUCGUCCAUGUAUAAUCUCUGAAAUCCGAUUCAAAGUGAUUAUGCUGAAGCUUGAGUAAUUCAUCUCCGUCGAAGCUACAUUGUAGAAGCUUAUGAGCUUUAACUCCUUAUUGAAAUAAAAUCAGAGGUUUAAUAGUCGGUCUUCUCGGAGCACUAAAGCUCAUUCUUAGUCCUGCCGCCGCCAUCCAAGCCGCUUUGCACCGAACCAAUCGAUUUGAUUUUCAAUCCCUGAGAUUUUCACUAUGGUGAACAUUCGUAGGGUUCAAGAAGAUUCUUGGGAAGAAUUUUCCCGUAAUCCUUGGGUUUUUGCCCUAGAUGUUUUUCGCACUCAUGUGGAAUGCCUGAGACGGAACCGAUUAUGAUUGUGAAAAGCUUAAAUAGAAACGACUGCAAGAGUACACUUCUUUUCAAGGGUGGUGGCAGUAUUUUAGCACAGUUGCUAAGGGACUUGUCAUCAUUCUGCGAAUUUGGUGAGCAGAUUUUGUUUAUAUAUGAUAAGAUUUUGUUGAAUCUGACCAUGGUUUUAUUGAAUUUUAAACAAUUUUAUUUUAAAGAACAUUAUAUGCUAGCAUGGUUAAGAUCUCUAUUAGUAAUUA